rnacentral:rRNA from 1 species
CGGGUGAGUAACGCGUGAGUAACCUGCCUUCAAGAGGGGGAUAACAUUCUGAAAAGAAUGCUAAUACCGCAUGAUAUAUCGGAAUCACAUGAUUUUGAUAUCAAAGAUUUUAUCGCUUGAAGAUGGACUCGCGUCCGAUUAGUUAGUUGGUGAGGUAACGGCUCACCAAGACUGCGAUCGGUAGCCGGACUGAGAGGUUGAACGGCCACAUUGGGACUGAGACACGGCCCAGACUCCUACGGGAGGCAGCAGUGGGGAAUAUUGCACAAUGGGGGAAACCCUGAUGCAGCGACGCCGCGUGAAGGAAGAAGUAUCUCGGUAUGUAAACUUCUAUCAGCAGGGAAGAUAGUGACGGUACCUGACUAAGAAGCCCCG